UAAUACGUAGGGACCAAGCGUUGUUCGGAUUUACUGGGCGUAAAGGGCGCGUAGGCGGCGCAAUAAGUCACUUGUGAAAUCUCCGGGCUUAACUCGGAGCGGCCAAGUGAUACUGUUGUGCUAGAGUGCAGAAAGGGCAAUCGGAAUUCUCGGUGUAGCGGUGAAAUGCGUAGAUAUCGAGAGGAACACCUGAGGCGAAGGCGGGUUGCUAGGCUGACACUGACGCUGAGGCGCGAAAGCUAGGGUAGCAAACGGGAUUAGAUACCCCGGUAGUCCUAGCCCUAAACGAUGAAUGCUUGGUGUCUGGAGUGUCAAGUCUCCGGGUGCCGGCGCUAACGCAUUAAGCAUUCCGCCUGGGGAGUACGCUCGCAAGAGUG
rnacentral:rRNA from 1 species